rnacentral:lncRNA from 1 species
GGAGUGGUAGCUCACACGAAGAUCUUCUUCUUGGCUGAUUUGGAUCCUUUCUUUAAAUCUCUGAAACUUUUUCAGAGGUUGAAGAUGGACUUCUGGAGGAGAUGAAAAGGUGAAAGAAAGAUGGAGAGAAAAAUAAUUUUUUUCUUAUUUUUUUUCUUUCCAAAUCUUGAGGAUCAAAAUCCUAAAAAUCUGAUUUUUGCGCACACCCCAA